CUCCCAAGGUAUUAGUAAUGGGUGACGCUCUUGGGUGGCAAACAUCGAAUACAUAGAUGAAAUCUUCAUUUUCAUGCCUUGAUGACUCAACAACGGACGGCACAUCAUAAACGAUCAAUGCAGUUACAGAGAAAAAUAUUGGUGUAACCAAGGCUGUAAAACUGUGCUGAGGAAGAGCUAAGAAAGACGUGAAACAAUGUACUGGCUCUUUUAUUGAAGAUGGCGAUGUCUCUGUAGAUCUACUCGGACGCCUUCACACUGGGCAGAUUCUGUUGAGUGAAAAUCUGUUCCAUUCAAGUAAAUGAAGUCACUGCCACCAAAACCACCAGUCAAGUGUUCAUGCAAGCUUUUCUUACAGAUUAGUUUAGAAAAGUACAGAACAGUACCAUACAUAUUUAUUAUGCUGUGUAUAACGUACAAUACAUAUGUGUAUAAGGUACUCACUAUUGCUUACAGAAUAAUAUUUGAAAACCGAUUGAGAUUACUCACAUUUCCUUAUGCAACUGAGAAUUUAUCAGCAACAUUUAUUUAUUUUAACCAUAUUGAUAGAUCAUUCCUGGCAGCACAUUCAUUGCAUCUAGGAACAUUGCAUUUCCAGGAACAUGAGUGUGUCAUGAUCCAAUCCGCUUUCAUGUGUAAAAAUUUCCCAACCUGGCUAGUUGCUAUUAAUAAUGUAGAUCAUGGAUACGGAAGGGCUGAAUAUGUAAAAUUUGCAUUGUGGAUUGCAGAAGUAUUUGGUUUACAUAAAAUAUAAUUCACACAUCAUUUAAUUGGACUAUGCAAUAAAAUGAGUUUCAAGUGGGUGCCCAGGAGUAGAAUAUUAAUGGAAAAUGUAAAAGUAUUGCAUAUUAUUAAACUACUUAUUCUAUGCCUAUUAUAUGUAGUCAUGAUAGACUAUAAGGAACUGAAUGUGUGUGGGACUGUUGUGUUUGAU